GAGUAAUGCUUAGGAAUCUGCCUAUUAGUGGGGGACAACAUUUCGAAAGGAAUGCUAAUACCGCAUACGUCCUACGGGAGAAAGCAGGGGAUCUUCGGACCUUGCGCUAAUAGAUGAGCCUAAGUCGGAUUAGCUAGUUGGUGGGGUAAAGGCCUACCAAGGCGACGAUCUGUAGCGGGUCUGAGAGGAUGAUCCGCCACACUGGGACUGAGACACGGCCCAGACUCCUACGGGAGGCAGCAGUGGGGAAUAUUGGACAAUGGGCGCAAGCCUGAUCCAGCCAUGCCGCGUGUGUGAAGAAGGCCUUAUGGUUGUAAAGCACUUUAAGCGAGGAGGAGGCUACUUUAGUUAAUACCUAGAGAUAGUGGACGUUACUCGCAGAAUAAGCACCGGCUAACUCUGUGCCAGCAGCCGCGGUAAUACAGAGGGUGCAAGCGUUAAUCGGAUUUACUGGGCGUAAAGCGCGCGUAGGCGGCUAAUUAAGUCAAAUGUGAAAUCCCCGAGCUUAACUUGGGAAUUGCAUUCGAUACUGGUUAGCUAGAGUGUGGGAGAGGAUGGUAGAAUUCCAGGUGUAGCGGUGAAAUGCGUAGAGAUCUGGAGGAAUACCGAUGGCGAAGGCAGCCAUCUGGCCUAACACUGACGCUGAGGUGCGAAAGCAUGGGGAGCAAACAGGAUUAG
rnacentral:rRNA from 1 species